GUAAGCGCCGCCCUCACAUGGAAACGACGUGGUGGUCGAUCCGUGACUCUAAGCCGCACAGUACUGAGGACUCUGGUGCUGAAAAGAGGGUGGAGACUGUUUGAAGCGGUCGAGGAUCAAGCCUUCUGCAGCAGCCAAGACGAGGGGGGUGGUGGACUGCGGCGAGUACUGCAGGAAGAGCUCCGUCAACAGGACUGAUUGCAGGACUGGAGGACUGAUCGAAAAGCAGCCGUAUGCCGUAUGCCACAUGCAGUGGCCGACGAACGACCUUGAGCCGCCGUUGCCUAACAACGCCGAAGCCGCGCUCCAAUUCAUGAACUUCCUCAUUGCUUUCAACAUGCCUUGCAGCUGGGAAGCUGCCACGUCACUGCAAUCGCUGGAAUCACGACUCAUUGGACCUGGUGAUUACAGAACACAUAUAUUGCUUGAUGAAAUAUAUAUGCACCAGGCGGCAUAAAAACGCGUUUUGAUGAAACCCGAAUGGCUUCGUAUGUCUUUUCCCUUUUUUUCUCUCUUGGGUAGGAAGUUACAUGGUUGAACAAAUGUCAUCCUACGUAAAGAAAGUCAAGCUGUUUUUAUUUUGAAGCCUCCGAUUUCUCGUCAGUAGUGAAAGGGUUAACAGCCAGAAACACUUUGCUGAUCCAAUCGCUGCGCUCUGCUGCAUCCGAUGACUGCUAUAUAGGCACUGAAGCAUUGAAAAAAGGCUGACCAAGGCGUUUUUUUCUGGCUACCAGUUUGCAAAAGCGGUGCAAGGACUUCUACAGUUGUGUACAAAUUUUGAAUAUGAAUACCAAAGUGGUGUGUCGACACGAACCUAAGCUUUCUUCAUUGUUUUUUGCUCUGCAUUUGGGCUUGUGAAAGAGCGUUGCAGAACGAUGAAACGCCUGAUGAGGUUGCAAUAAUCAAGAGUUUUCAUGUUACUGGUCGAACUUUAGCAGGAAAGAAGUUUGGGCGGGUUGCUGGGAUACAUACAAAGCGGGAUACAUAGCGCAGGAAUGAUAAAGGGACAAGCUUGUCCCUUUAUGCUUGUCCCUGUAU